UUAUUCGAGAGUUUGAUCCUGGCUCAGGAUGAACGCUGGCGGCGUGCUUAACACAUGCAAGUCGAACGGGGUU
rnacentral:rRNA from 1 species